UACGGGGGGGAGCAAACGUUGUUCGGAAUCACUGGGCGUAAAGGGCGUGUAGGCGGCUGGAUAAGUGGGAUGUUAAAUCCCCCGGCUCAACCGGGGACCUGCAUCUCAUACUGUUCAGCUCGAGCACAUCAGAGGAGACUGGAAUUCCCGGUGUAGCGGUGAAAUGCGCAGAUAUCAGGAGGAACACCAAUGGCGAAAGCACUCUGCUGGGCCGACACUGACACUGAGAGACGAAAGCCGUAGGGAGAAACGGG
rnacentral:rRNA from 1 species